rnacentral:rRNA from 2 species
UGCAAGUCGAACGGUGAAAGAGGAGCUUGCUCCUCUGGAUCAGUGGCGAACGGGUGAGUAACACGUGAGUAACCUGCCCCAGACUCUGGGAUAAGCACUGGAAACGGUGUCUAAUACCGGAUACGAGCUUCAGCCGCAUGGCUAGGAGCUGGAAAGAAUUUCGGUCUGGGAUGGACUCGCGGCCUAUCAGCUAGUUGGUGAGGUAAUGGCUCACCAAGGCGACGACGGGUAGCCGGCCUGAGAGGGUGACCGGCCACACUGGGACUGAGACACGGCCCAGACUCCUACGGGAGGCAGCAGUGGGGAAUAUUGCACAAUGGGCGCAAGCCUGAUGCAGCAACGCCGCGUGAGGGACGACGGCCUUCGGGUUGUAAACCUCUUUUAGUAGGGAAGAAGCGAAAGUGACGGUACCUGCAGAAAAAGCACCGGCUAACUACGUGCCAGCAGCCGCGGUAAUACGUAGGGUGCAAGCGUUAUCCGGAAUUAUUGGGCGUAAAGAGCUCGUAGGCGGUUUGUCGCGUCUGCUGUGAAAACUGGAGGCUCAACCUCCAGCCUGCAGUGGGUACGGGCAGACUAGAGUGCGGUAGGGGAGAUUGGAAUUCCUGGUGUAGCGGUGGAAUGCGCAGAUAUCAGGAGGAACACCGAUGGCGAAGGCAGAUCUCUGGGCCGUAACUGACGCUGAGGAGCGAAAGCAUGGGGAGCGAACAGGAUUAGAUACCCUGGUAGUCCAUGCCGUAAACGUUGGGAACUAGAUGUAGGGACCAUUCCACGGUUUCUGUGUCGCAGCUAACGCAUUAAGUUCCCCGCCUGGGGAGUACGGCCGCAAGGCUAAAACUCAAAGGAAUUGACGGGGGCCCGCACAAGCGGCGGAGCAUGCGGAUUAAUUCGAUGCAACGCGAAGAACCUUACCAAGGCUUGACAUAUACCGGAAAAGUUCAGAAAUGUUCUCCCCGCAAGGUCGGUAUACAGGUGGUGCAUGGUUGUCGUCAGCUCGUGUCGUGAGAUGUUUGGGUUAAGUCCCGCAACGAGCGCAACCCUCGUUCUAUGUUGCCAGCACGUAAUGGUGGGAACUCAUAGGA